rnacentral:rRNA from 1 species
AGCUCCAAUAGCGUAUAUUAAAGUUGUUGCAGUUAAAAAGCUCGUAGUUGAAUUUCUGGUGGAAGAUAGUGGCCGUAGCCAUGCUAUGUGCUCACUUUUCUUCCGCCAUCCUUGGGUGGAGCCAGUCUGGCAUUAAGUUAUCGGGCUGGGGAUGCCCAUCGUUUACUGUGAAAAAUUAGAGUGUUCAAAGCAGGCUUAUGCCGUUGAAUAUAUUAGCAUGGAAUAAUAAGAUAGGUCCUUGAGACUAUUUUGUUGGUUUGCGUUUUAAGGAAAUGAUGAAUAGGGACAGUUGGGGGUAUUCGUAUUCAGUUGUCAGAGGUGAAAUUCUUAGAUUAAUUGAAGACGAACUACUGCGAAAGCAUUUACCAAGGAUGUUUUCA